UAGCUGCAUAAAAUACUAACAAUCGUUUAGGUCCACAACUCUUGUUUAUGGUCCUCCUUCUAUCAAGGCAAGAGUCCUUUAGCACAGCAAGGAGCAGUUUGCAUUUAACAAACCCGAGCAAACAUUAUUUGCUCAGUCGUAUUUACAUUAUCCUCCCUGCACUCAUGCAAACACUGCAAGAGGUUUGGCAGGUCUUGCGGCCAAAGGUUUCUGAGAGCAACAAGCAGAGUCAUCCUGAGCCUCAGGCCCUACGGAUUGCUGUUAUUCACUAGAUUUGGAAGGGUCUACACCAGGACCCAGCCUGUCCAGCAAGGAGGGCUCAUGGAGGCCCAGCUGGCAGGAAAGGGCUGAUAAUGCAGAAGACGACGACUCAGGGCUUUCCUACCACAUUCCCAGAAUUGGGCGCAGUCACAGGGACGAGGCCGCUGCCAGGGCGGUAUCCCAUUGCAGCCCGGACCCCUUUCAUCAGGGCACGAACGUUCUCCUGGAAGAAGAGACAUAAUCACCAGUGACUGAUGAGAAGGUAUUUAACCACAAGGAACUGCGAUAUAUGACUACAACCAGACACAGGCAAGCUCAAACCUUGCAAAGACCUUUCCUGCAGCUCUGGAGCUGGGGGCUGAGCAGGUCACACCACACAGCUACGUCAAAGCCUGCCAGCACGCUCCAGUUCUGUCUGCAGCCAUGCCUCGCUGUGCCAGGUCCUCGGCGUCUACCACUGCAAGCAGGGGCAGAGUGUCAAGAGACACUGAGCUCUGACAGACAUUAGCUACGGCACUAGGACUGAUUCUCUGAUUCUCACAGUCUCUGCUUUGCACACAACAAAUUGUCUUUGCAAAUAAAUCUGGCGUCUGUGAAAGCCAGAGACUAAAAUAGCUUGCUCAAGUCUGGAGCGUGGGUAGCACUGCUGGGGCUCACAGCUCAUUCCAGCAUUUGGGGCAGCCAGAGGAAGAGUCUGGCAAUCCAAAAAAUUCUUUUCAGGUUGUAGCUUUCCGAAACAGCUCACUGCUUUUUGAAAAGGGCCUGAGUUCUUGUUUUCAAUAUGCACGACUAUCUUUAGCUGUGCUGAAACAAAUACUGUUCAUAUCCAGCUAAUGAAGCAGAACAUCAAGCACCACACUAUCUGUGACCCAUCCUCUUCACUGCUAAACACCCUGUUCUGAUCUUUGUCAGGUAUGCAGACAUAAUCGGUUAUGGAUCUGACGAGUCAUUAAUAAAUCUUUUCAGUAGCAUAGGGGCAAAACAGAUCCCUGUGGGACCUAAUAAGAAGCAUACAAGUGAAAUUCCCAUUUUCCACUUUUUGAAUUUUGAGAUUUCUCAAUUAGAUUUUAAAUCUGUGUUCUUUUCAUCUGAUUUCAGGUUCUGAAUCAAAACAAUCAGGGAGUACUAAAUCAAUUGUCUUACAGAAUCUUAUCAUGUCCCCUAAAUAAGUCACUGAGAUGAAAGGAAAGUUAGUUUGAAGGACCUGUUAGUCCAAACCCAUGUUCCUAGUCAGUUGCUGUUUCACACCACCCUCCUUUGUCUUUCUUCCCAGCCACUCUCCUGUUUGCUCAGGAUUGAUGUUAGGCCCAUAAAGAUGAGGGUUACUUCAUUGAAUUUUUUU